AAGUCGAGCGGACUUACAAAAGCUUGCUUUUGUAAGUUAGCGGCGGACGGGUGAGUAACACGUGGGCAACCUGCCCUUGAGACUGGGAUAACUUCGGGAAACCGGAGCUAAUACCGGAUAAUAUAAGGAACCUCCUGGUUCCUUAUUGAAAGAUGGUUUCGGCUAUCACUUAAGGAUGGGCCCGCGGCGCAUUAGCUAGUUGGUGAGGUAACGGCUCACCAAGGCGACGAUGCGUAGCCGACCUGAGAGGGUGAUCGGCCACACUGGGACUGAGACACGGCCCAGACUCCUACGGGAGGCAGCAGUAGGGAAUCUUCCACAAUGGACGAAAGUCUGAUGGAGCAACGCCGCGUGAGUGAUGAAGGCCUUCGGGUCGUAAAGCUCUGUUGUUAGGGAAGAACAAGUGCGAGAGUAACUGCUCGCACCUUGACGGUACCUAACCAGAAAGCCACGGCUAACUACGUGCCAGCAGCCGCGGUAAUACGUAGGUGGCAAGCGUUAUCCGGAAUUAUUGGGCGUAAAGCGCGCGCAGGUGGUUUCUUAAGUCUGAUGUGAAAGCCCACGGCUCAACCGUGGAGGGUCAUUGGAAACUGGGGAACUUGAGUGCAGAAGAGGAAAGUGGAAUUCCAAGUGUAGCGGUGAAAUGCGUAGAGAUUUGGAGGAACACCAGUGGCGAAGGCGACUUUCUGGUCUGUAACUGACACUGAGGCGCGAAAGCGUGGGGAGCAAACAGGAUUAGAUACCCUGGUAGUCCACGCCGUAAACGAUGAGUGCUAAGUGUUAGAGGGUUUCCGCCCUUUAGUGCUGCAGCUAACGCAUUAAGCACUCCGCCUGGGGAGUACGGUCGCAAGACUGAAACUCAAAGGAAUUGACGGGGGCC
rnacentral:rRNA from 2 species